GAAAGAAUAGAUAGAUUUAUAUAAAUAAUUAUCCUAUUAUAUAUAUUGUAAUUCUAAUUUAUAUCUACAUAUAUUAUUAGUAUCAUCAUCAUCAUCACCAUCAUUUAUAUUAAAUAUUAUAUAUUAUAAGUCCGGCUGGGAUACUAUCGAUAGCACCAAGGAUUUGGUGCUAUCGAGUUUUUCACCGUUAGAUUUAAUCCUUUGAUUAUUUUUAUCCGUUAAAUUAUACUAUUCAACCAACCACUCACUCAACCUUAAGGAGCCCACAUCAUUCUAACCACCUAUUUCUUAAUCCAAGGGCUAAAAAAUCAAUAGCAUCAAUAGUUUGGUGCUAUUGAUAGUAUUCCAGCCUAGUUCUAUAUAUUAUAUAUUCUAUAAUAUAUAAUCUGUACAAUCUAUCUAUUUGACACUCCUAUUCAGCAACGUGACAUGUUCACAUUGCCCUCUCUAUUGUCCCUCUUAAUACAGAUUCAAUGGUGUAGAUCAGCCAACUCUCUUUCUCUCCACUUCGAAACAAGCCUCUUCCCUUUUCCAAGAGACUAGGGAUGUCAAUGGAUAUGGAUGCCCGAAAUUUUAUCCGAAUCCGAACCCGAAUGAAACGGAUAUAUCCGAUGGAUAUGGAUAUGGAUUCAGAUAUGGAUAUCAAAAUUAGAAACCCGACGGAUAUGGAUUCGGAUAUAGAUAUUGAUUGUACCCAACCCGAACCCAAACCCGACCCGAACCCGAAUUUAUUUUGUAUUAUAUAUAAUAUAUAUAUAAAUAUAUAUGAUAUUAUAUUUGAAUUUACAUUUUAAAAAUUUAGAUUUAAUAUAAUAUAUUUUGAAAUAUUGAAAAAAGAAAUAAUUAUUUCGGGUUCAAAUUUUCGGGUUCGGGUUCCGGUUCGGGUUUCGGAUUUUUGGUCGGGUUCGGGUUUGGAUAUGGAUUUUUAAAAUCUGUCGGGUUCGGGUUCGGGUUCGGGUUCGGGUCUCGGGUUUGGAGUCGGGUUCGGGUUUGGGUUUUUAAAAAUCCGCCCUGAAUUCGACCCGUUGACAUCUCUACAAGAGACGCUCAAUCUUCACCCUUCAUUUUUUUGAUCGGAUAGCUGUGCUGAAAUCAACUCCUUCCUCUCCCCUCAACGUGUUCCUUGCCACGUGCGUGCCUCCUCCGCUGUCCUCUCUCUCUCUUCCCCUCUUUCUCUCUCAC
rnacentral:lncRNA from 1 species